UGAGGAAUUUUGCGCAAUGGGGGAAACCCUGACGCUGCGACGCCGCGUGGGUGAUGAAGGUCUUCGGAUCGUAAAACCCUGUCGAGAGGGACGAAUAGCUUGGGUGUCAAUACCAUCCAAGCCUGACUGUACCUCUGGAGGAAGCCCCGGCUAACUCCGUGCCAGCAGCCGCGGUAAUACGGAGGAUCAAAGCGUUAUCCGGAUUUAUUGGGUUUAAAGGGUGCGUAGGCGGGCCCUUAAGUCAGUGGUGAAAGUUUGCAGCUUAACUGUAAAAUUGCCAUUGAAACUGAGGGUCUUGAGUGUAAAUAAGGUAGGCGGAAUGUGUUGUGUAGCGGUGAAAUGCUUAGAUAUAACACAGAACACCAAUUGCGAAGGCAGCUUACUGGGAUACAACUGACGCUGAGGCACGAAAGCGUGGGGAUCAAACA
rnacentral:rRNA from 1 species